rnacentral:lncRNA from 1 species
UUCUGAGGGCUCAUUUUAUUAUCAAAGACAGGGAAAAGCCCCCCUGGAGUCCAGGAACCAGCUGGAAAAGGGCUCGGCAGCCGCAGGCACCGUCGGGGCUCGGGGCCACCGCUCGACAUCGCCGCUUCGUGCUGCUCUUUGAAAAUGAAGAGCAGGGCACGAGCCUGCGGCUCCUCAUGGACCUGCAGCACCUCCAGAGGCUUCUUCCCAUGAGGAUGAGGCACCGUCUGGCUCUGGGGUGGCCGCAGCCGGGAGAUCCGCUGCCACGAGCGGGGCUGGGGAAGAGCCGGGAUGGGCACGGUGGGGACGUCCUCUCCUUCGUGCCACCAGCACCCGUCCUGCAACGGCAGCUCUGCUGAGCCCGAGACCAUCCCAGGAGCUCCCUGGGACCAGCCCUGCCCCAUGGGCCCUGAACCCCCCAGUCUCUGCACAGAGGGAUGGGAUGAGCCCCCUCCUUCGGCGGGGAGAUGGGAACCUGCCAGCCCAUGAGGGGACAGACCCCGUUCCCAUGCGCUUCCCGGGAGCUCCCCACCCGGCGGUGCCGGGGACCCCUCCGUGGCCCUCGGCCCCCCCUGGCCCCGGUGCCCCCGGUCUCAGCAUCCCGCAGCUCUUACCUGGUGGCCGGGGCAGGGUCACCAGCUGGGCUGCCCCUCGCUGGGGCUGAUCUGCUCCAGGAUCUGGCUGUACCUCCGCGUGAGGGCGUUGGUGUCCCUGGUGAGGUGGGUGAGGACCUGCUGCAGCCCGGCCAGGUGGUGGCACAGCCGCUGCUCCAGCCGCUCCUCCCCGCUGCCGGCGUCGUCCCAGGACGCGUCGGGGCUGGCGCUGGCCGGGCUCCGGUCGCUCCCGGAGGCCAGGCCCUUCUCCACCAUGGGCUUGAUGGCCUUGAGGAGCUGGUAGCGCUCGUAGAGGUCCGUGUGGCCAUUGGCAUCCGGAGCCGCCCCGUCCUGCUGCUGCGGGAAGACCCCUCGGAGCAGGCUGGGGAACAUCACCUCCUGCUCCAUCUUCUGCGUGGCUGAGAAGUACUGCUCCAUGGCCCCGCUCCCGGCUGCGGCAGCGCUGCUCCGGG